AUUGAACGCUGGCGGCAGGCCUAACACAUGAAAGUCGAGCGAGUGGCGGACGGGUGAGUAAUGUCUGGGAAACUGCCUGAUGGAGGGGGAUAACUACUGGAAACGGUAGCUAAUACCGCAUACCAUCAGAUGUGCCCAGAUGGGAUUAGCUCGUGGGUGGGGUAAUGGCUCACCUAGGCGACGAUCCCUAGCUGGUCUGAGAGGAUGACCAUCCACACUGGACCGGAGACACGGUCCAGACUCCUACGGGAGGCAGAAGUGGGGAAUAUUGCACAAUGGGCGCAAGCCUGAUGCAGCCAUGCCGCGUGUGUGAAGAAGGCCUUCGGGUUGUAAAGCACUUUCAGCGAGGAGGCGUUACCCGCAGAAGAAGCACCGGCUAACUCCGUGCCAGCCGCCGCGGUAAUUC
rnacentral:rRNA from 1 species